UACAGAGGUCUCAAGCGUUGUUCGGAUUCAUUGGGCGUAAAGGGUGCGUAGGUGGCGCUGUAAGUCGGGUGUGAAAUUUCGGAGCUUAACUCCGAAACUGCAUUCGAUACUGCGGUGCUUGAGGACUGGAGAGGAGACUGGAAUUCAUGGUGUAGCAGUGAAAAUGCGUAGAGAUCAUGAGGAAGACCAGUGGCGAAGGCGGGUCUCUGGACAGUUCCUGACACUGAGGCACGAAGGCCAGGGGAGCAAAACGGG
rnacentral:rRNA from 1 species